GCCCUACGGGAGGCAGCAGUGGGGAAUCUUGGACAAUGGGCGCAAGCCUGAUCCAGCCAUGCCGCGUGAGUGAAGAAGGCCUUAGGGUUGUAAAACUCUUUCGCCGGAGAAGAUAAUGACGGUAUCCGGCGAAGAAGCCCCGGCUAACUUCGUGCCAGCAGCCGCGGUAAUACGAAGGGGGCUAGCGUUGUUCGGAAUUACUGGGCGUAAAGCGCACGUAGGCGGGUUUGUAAGUAGGGGGUGAAAUCCCAGGGCUCAACCCUGGAACUGCCUUCUAGACUGCAAGCCUGGAGGUCAGGAGAGGCGAGUGGAAUACCGAGUGUAGAGGUGAAAUUCGUAGAUAUUCGGUGGAACACCAGUGGCGAAGGCGACUCGCUGGACUGAUACUGACGCUGAGGUGCGAAAGCGUGGGGAGCAAACAGGAUUAGAUACCCCAGUAGUCCAG
rnacentral:rRNA from 1 species